AGGUCGGUGCCGAGCUGGGUGAAGCCGGAAUUGAGGCACCCGCGAGCUAUGCGCUUCCAGAGGAGAUCGCGGCUACUGAGGAAGCGCAGGCGGCGGCAGACCUGGCCCAGGCGGCCCAAGGCCUGCACGUCCAGGAGCCUGGAGUACUGACAACACAGGAGGAUCCUGGUCCAAAAUGGCAAAGUAGCCCUCCACAGACAGUGGAGCAGGAAAAUAUGAGUACAGUGUUGUGUUAUUCUUUUUUACAGUAUUUUCCACUCUACGGAAGCCUGAAAUGCUUAGGGAAACUUCUGCCUCAGAAUUAAAUAUAUAUAUAUAAAUUAUGAAAAGUAAAUCAUCUACCUAGAAUUCUUUGUACAGGCAUCAUUUACCAGCCACAAACUACAGGUUCUUUUGCACUGUAGAGUUGGAAAAUAAAUUUCAGCAUUUAAUGAGGUUACCAUAGCAGGCAGGCCUUUUAGACACUUACUUGCAUCCUGUUCCAGAAGGUCAUCUCGUCUGUUUAAUCUCAAGCACUCAAAUAUUCAUUUAUCUAAAUCACCAGCUCUGGAGGCCUUGUGUUUGAGAGGUUCAAAACUGCCAGCUGAGGAGCUGUCUGGUCCAUUUACACCGAGUUUCUAUGCACCCUGGAAGUCAAGGAGAUUCUAAAGGAUCAGAAGACAGCAAAUAUUUUAUCAGCAAUUAUAAUGAGUGAAUCAGAUGGUCAGAGUAAUUAAAAAAUUCACCACCUCAGAUUAAGUUCAGGUAAAAUAGCAGCACAGCUGGUACAGGAUAUAAGCGGCCAAUUGAAAGGGAGGUAAUAUAACAAACAUUACUUAAAAAAAGAUUAUAAAGAAUUGAUGUGAAUUCUGUGUCUUUUUGAUAACAUUAAUGUUAAACGUGUAAUUAUAAUUAACUCUUUUGUAAUACACUUUGGCAAUGCCUGAAACAUUAAAUUUAUUAAAAGCCGA